AAAGGCUUGAGGGGUGACAUGAUGUUCUGUCAGUGCUCUUACAGCGGUUCACGUUAGAAGCUGCUGGGUUGGGACAGUGUGCUGAGGGGACACCGUGCCUUGUAUGUUUACUGUUACAGUUACGAAUGUUGACUACGAUGAUGACAUUAAAUACAGCCUCAGCAUCAGAAUAUAAACUCAAGGGGUGGACUGUCCAUAGGGAGAACCGGAACUUUUCCCGGUGGGCCGGCCGAGAAAUGGGGCGAACGGACCACGAUAAGCUGAACGGGUCAUGACAAGCUGAAGUGAGCCGCAAAAUGCUGUGCGAUAUUCCAUUCCAGUGUCUGAUGAAUUCCUGCUUUAAUCUUUGUACCAGGAGUGGCAUAAAGUCAGCAAUGUGAAAGACUGGUAGAAAGAGGGCAAAGACACACGAAAGCUGGGAUUGAAAAUCAGGGUUAUUCCACCAAAUAUUGAUUUCUGAACUCUUCCUAAGUUAAAACAUUAGUAUUGUGUUGUUUAAAAAUGAAUAUGAACUUCUUUUUUUGCAUUAUUCAAGGUCUGAAAACACUGCAUCUUUUUUGUUAUUUUGACCAGUUGUCAUUUUCUGCAAAUAAAUGCUCUAAAUGACAUUUCUAUUUGGAAUUUGGGAGAAAUGUUGUCAGUACUUUAUAGAAUGAAACAAAAAUUUUCAUUUUACUCAACACACAUACCUAUAAAUAGUAAAUCCAGAGAAACUGAACAUUUGGAGUGGUCCAAAUUUUUUCCAGAGCUGCAUAUAUGGGGCGUUUUCCAAAAGGGCACGUCACUCGAAGAGUCAUUUCAAACAAAAGAAAGUAAGUUUAUUUUUUCACAAAAGGCCCUUUUACAAAAAUAUUUUUUGUGAUGGCUACAAUCAAAUUGUAAUGCCAUGCUUUCUUUAGAGA